rnacentral:rRNA from 2 species
AGAGUUUGAUCAUGGCUCAGGAUGAACGCUGGCGGCGUGCUUAACACAUGCAAGUCGAACGAACCUUCGGGUUAGUGGCGGACGGGUGAGUAACGCGUGAGAAUCUGCCCUCAGGAGGGGGAUAACGGUUGGAAACGACCGCUAAUACCCCAUAUGCCUACUGGUGAAACGAAUUUCGCCUGAGGAUGAGCUCGCGUCUGAUUAGCUAGUUGGUGAGGUAAUGGCUCACCAAGACUUCGAUCAGUAGCUGGUCUGAGAGGAUGGUCAGCCACACUGGGACUGAGACACGGCCCAGACUCCUACGGGAGGCAGCAGUGGGGAAUUUUCCGCAAUGGGCGAAAGCCUGACGGAGCGACGCCGCGUGAGGGACGAAGGCCUCUGGGCUGUAAACCUCUUUUCUCAAGGAAGAAGAUAUGACGGUACUUGAGGAAUAAGCCACGGCUAAUUCCGUGCCAGCAGCCGCGGUAAUACGGGAGUGGCAAGCGUUAUCCGGAAUUAUUGGGCGUAAAGCGUCCGCAGGCGGCUUUUCAAGUCUGCUGUUAAAGCGUGGAGCUUAACUCCAUCAUGGCAGUGGAAACUGAAAGGCUUGAGUAUGGUAGGGGCAGAGGGAAUUCCCGGUGUAGCGGUGAAAUGCGUAGAUAUCGGGAAGAACACCAGUGGCGAAGGCGCUCUGCUGGGCCAUUACUGACGCUCAUGGACGAAAGCCAGGGGAGCGAAAGGGAUUAGAUACCCCUGUAGUCCUGGCCGUAAACGAUGAACACUAGGUGUCGGGGGAAUCGACCCCUUCGGUGUCGUAGCUAACGCGUUAAGUGUUCCGCCUGGGGAGUACGCACGCAAGUGUGAAACUCAAAGGAAUUGACGGGGGCCCGCACAAGCGGUGGAGUAUGUGGUUUAAUUCGAUGCAACGCGAAGAACCUUACCAGGGUUUGACAUCCUGCGAACCUCUUAGAAAUUUGAGGGUGCCUUCGGGAAUGCAGUGACAGGUGGUGCAUGGCUGUCGUCAGCUCGUGUCGUGAGAUGUUGGGUUAAGUCCCGCAACGAGCGCAACCCACGUUUUUAGUUGCCAGCAUUUAGUUGGGCACUCUAGAAAGACCGCCGGUGAUAAACCGGAGGAAGGUGUGGAUGACGUCAAGUCAUCAUGCCCCUUACACCCUGGGCUACACACGUACUACAAUGCUACGGACAAAGGGCAGCAAACUCGCGAGAGCUAGCAAAUCCCAUAAACCGUGGCUCAGUUCAGAUCGUAGGCUGCAACUCGCCUACGUGAAGUAGGAAUCGCUAGUAAUCGCAGGUCAGCAUACUGCGGUGAAUACGUUCCCGG